AACGCUCUCAAACACCCUCACAAACCCUAAUCGUCGCCUACCCUUUUCGACCUCAAAUCCACCAGAAUCCAUGGUCGCUCUAGCCAUAGACGACCUACACUCACCCCCUACUGCUCUCACACUCCUUCUUCCUGAAGAUUCGAGGCCAGUCUUCGAGGGUCUUCACAUUUCCGGCCUUGCUUCGGCUUAUCAUAGCCUACUGAGCCUGGUUCCGACCUUGUCGACUCAGAUCUGAUCUCGUGACUUCCAACCCUUUCUCAUUCUUUAUGGUUCUCAGGAACCCUAGCUUAUUCGAGGUCUUUUUCAUUUUAUUCAUUUAGAUCUGUGCUAGAUCUAUGACGUGUGUGACUUUUUAGAGCUUUUCCCCAAAUUCCCUUUUUUCAAAGCUGUUCAAAUUUGAUUUUAGGGUUUCUAAAAUGUCUCCUAAAAGUUUUCUGACUCUUUUGCCCUCUCUUAUGUGUAUGCUCGUGUUUUAUUUCAUAUUAUGUUCAAGUCUAUUCUCUUAUUUCUUGCCUGAUUUUUGCAGAGAUUCUUUUUUGUUCUUUGUUCACAUGCUAACCUAGGUUGUUGAUCCUCACUCUUUGCUAUAUGUGUGCAAGUUCAUGCUUUGUUUUAUCCCUAAGUUUUAUUGAUCAUUUUCUUGCCUACCUUUUUUCUUAAAACUCGUAGUUUCUCUUGCUUCUGUUUGAGUAAGUGUGCCUAUCUCCGUGACUUUGAAUGACUUCUUAUGUCUGAUUCUAUGUGAAACCCUAAACUUUGGGGGUUUUCCUUUGGGUUGAUGGCACUAGGGUUUCACUCUAAAAUCCUAAGUUUACAGACUCACGAUGAGCCUGUAAUAGAACUCAAAAUCUUAUUCACCUAUGACUCUAAAAUUUUCAUUAUGAGACUCUUCUUUGGUUUGAACUGUAUGAUUUAUAUAUUAGAAAAAAUUCCCUUUUAAAGAUUUAUUUUGAAAUCCCUUUAAUCAUGCUAGUGAUUCAGCACUGAUUUCUUUCGAGUUGAUUCCCUUUUCCCUACUGGUUGUUUAUUUUGAUCUUUAUGUAAAAAUUCCAGACUUAUGAUUUUUUACUUAAAUAAUUGGUCUUGUAUAUAAUUUAUUAUUUUGUACCAACGUUUGAGUUAUUUAUUUCCUUUGGUUACUUUAGGUUAUUUGUGAUUUGAUAUUGGAUCCGAGAUCCUUUGGCUGAUUUUCAAACUGAUACCUUAUUUUUCACACUAUUAUUCCAUCUUUCCUUAAUUACCAACUCUGUACUUGACCUUAUUUGUACACUAUGUGGUUUCCUUACUUAAUCAAGCCUUAGAAAACUGAUUUUCCCUCCUUGUUCCUUCUUGAUUAGCCGUUUUACCUAGACCCCUUAAUUAAAGGAGUCUAGUUGUCUUAAUUGAAACUAAUUGAUUGGUUUUAUAUGUUUGUGCACUCUUUGCCUACCUUACCAGUUCUAGACUACUUCUAUUUUCUUUCCAGAAUACCUUUAUGUUUUUCUCAAAAACUUUUGAGUCUUCUGCUGAAGUCUUAAGUUGAUCUUUCUCUGUUUGUGGUUGCGAGUGCUCUGCUUUUUUCUUUCUUUUUAGUUUGCAACUGGUAUGUCUAUCCUAGCUUAAAUACUGGCCAUCUCUUAUGUGUUUAUUUUUCAGCUCUGUUGUACUUCUUUCUUAAUGCUUUAUGAAUUUUAUCAUUCUUGUUCUUAUGUGAAUCCCCUUUCCCCUACCCAUUUUAUCUGUUGAGUUGUGGUUCAUAGAGCAUGACAAUACCCAAACAUUGUUGUUCAUACAUAUGGACUGGAUUCCUGAAAUCCUAAACUAUAUCAAUUCCCACUCUCUUUUCCCCUUAUGUGUGCUUUGAGCCUAAGACCUUAGCCUGGCAAUGUCCUAAUCAUUGUCCAGACCUGGUCUGACCUUCAAUGGCGCUGCUCUUAAUUUGUUUGACAAAAUAGGUUGGUCAGGGGUGUGCCAGCCUAUUUUGUGGCUAGGCAUGACAACCACUUGUUAUGGCUCCUCAACCCCUUCUGCACUUACACUUAUUCAUAGUGAUUAAGUUAUGCCCCUCUCUUACAAGCCUUGCCUUGGGACCCUUAAUCUCCCUUUGAACUUGGACGCUUGAGAGCUGGCUCUUCCAUACUGCACUGUUUCUAUUCUAAUGGUUUCUUGGGUGCAAGCAAUGCCGGGAAUCCCUGAGAUUCCUUGGAACUUUGAAACACCCUAGGUAAAGAGAAGGCUUUGAACUUUGGAUCCCAGUGGUUCAAACGCAAAUUAUGAGACAUUAAGUCUGAAUUAGGCUGCUCGGAUCUAGUUAUUAGCUUCUGAUGUAUUUUUCUCUAUUUUUCUGAUUUGUAAUAACUUGUCUAAACUCGAAGAAUAUUGUAAAUGGGGGGUUUCUUUACUUUCAUGCAUUGAAGGGUAGAAAUCAUGAUCCUAGGAUUUUACUGUUUAAUCACCCAGAAAUCAUGCUCUUAGGAUCUUUGUUGUCUUUACUGUUAAUUUAAUCACAUAGAAAUCAUGCCUAUCGGGCCUAACGCUUACUUUUUGCAAUCAUGCAUAUAGAAAUCCUGUCUAUAGGAGUUAAGUUCUGCAAUCUGUGCAUAUAGAAGCCAUGCCUAUAGGGGUCUGCAUUUCUCUAUAGCAUUAGGAAUACCAUUAGGUAUUUAUAAGAAAUCAGCAUCUGUUCUUGAUUCUAUUAGCAUGUUUUAAAAUCAGCGACUCAUAGAAAUCAUGCCUAUAGGAGCUUUUAAAUUAAACUCGCCUCGCUUGUCUAAAAGCAGUAACAAUCGAUUAAUUAAUUGGUUCCUUCACGCCCAGAUCCAUAUACUGUUUCUAAAACUUAAUAUUUUGAUAAACUUUCUCAAGUCAGUGUAUACUUUUCCUAAAACCUAAUUCUUUAACUUGAAUAUUUUAUUGAAACCAUCUUUCGAAUAAUCUGACAAAAGAUGUGUUUUCCUACUCAGUUCCUUUCUUUUGAACUUGUCAUCUUUAAAUGAGUUUUGCAAUUCACUCAUUUUCUUUAAAUAAACCUGCCUCCUCUAAAACAUUUAAAAUUACCUUUUCUAUGUUUAAUUAAAACUAGGCAGUCUGCUCUAAACCACUUUCUAAGUCUGCAUCAUACUUUUUCUCAAAACCUUAUAUAGCAGCUAUUUUUUGAUGUCAAUAUUCUUAAUCAAUUAGCAUUAAUAAAGUGCCUUAAUCUCUGAAAAUUGUAUCUGAGUGGCCUAAUGUACACUUUCUGUCUAAAUAUAUGUGUUGAACCAGUCCGCUUACUGCUUAAUCUAAUUUAAAAGACCAAACCAGUGUUUGCAAAGACAUGCUAAACUAUGUGACUAUCUGAUUUUAGGGGUUUAUUUGAGCUUAUUUACUUGCUUGCUCCUCCCUUUAUUUGAUACAUGCUUUGAAUGUCAAACUAGAAUUUUAUCCUUAAACUUCAUAAAGGCCCCCAUCCCUUCCUCCCCUUUUAGGAUUAGAAGUCCUAGUACUCUGAGACUAAUAGGAUCGGGACGGGUAUUAGUAUGCAAUAAGUAAAUGAUACUAAACGCGCUUUAAUGCCUUAACGGGAUGGGAAUGGUAGAUAUGAUGAUCGGUGCAUUAAUAUCACGUGCGACCCCUAUUCGAGGAGUGUACGCCGGAUAUUGUAUUGAUGUGAUCCAUAUUAUGUAUAAACAUAGGACCCCCUUUCCUCUUUACUUAAAAUGUUUCUUUUUGUUUCUUUUAAUUAACCUUUUUCUAACACUUCCUAUUUCCUUUCUUUUUAAAACUUUCUAACUUGUUUGCAACAAUUAUAUGAAAUUCUUAUUUUCUUCUUCUAUCUUCUAAUGUCACAAUUGUAGUAUGGCCGAGAACCACACUAGUGGAACUUGAGGGGUACCUAACAACUUUCCCUCGAGAUAAUCUCAAGCCCUUACCCAAACUUUUGUUCUUCUUCUCAAAUCCUUUCUUUAAAAGUGUCCUAAUGCAUAUCAUUAGGUGUCGUCUCUCCAAAUUCCAAAACCCAAUUCUCACAAGGGAAUAAGAGUUUUCCUUCCAUAAUGUCGUAUACCCGAUUUCAAACUUCCGUUCAUUAGAAAAAGGGGGCAUCGGCAGCAUGAUGACUCUGCUGGGGAUUUCUUUAGGCUUUUACAAUUAAAUACUAUUUUUGACUUUAUUAAUUGCCUUUAUUUCCUGAUUUUUAUUAUUUCAUCAUGAAACUAAUUUGGCUGUUCAUACCUUUUCUUUCCUUUAACUGCUUUCUUUACUGCUUUAUUAUUUCAAUAUUGUUGUAAUUUCGAGCAUUAUAAUCAUUUAUCUUAUGUACGUGAAAAUAUAUGUCAAUUUGUUUCAUUCUUGUAAAUUGCAUCUUAAACAUCAUACUCCACUCGUGCCAAAACAAAUACUAUAGAAACCUGAUAAUGAGUGGAUGCGCUCUUCCAACAUUAUUACCCCCUAAAUUUGCAAAGGCAUAUUUGUGGUAAAUAAGUUGAUUAACGGUGUAGUCGACGGUUCCGUACCUUUUCCCCUUGAGUUGUCCGCUCAAGGGUACCAGCCUAAUACUUCAAAUGGAAACCUUUCUCUAUUUAACUGUUCAUGCAUCAUGGUCAAACCUAGUCGAUUCAAUUAUGUUUUCCGCAUAAUGACUCAAUAAGAUAGCCUAGUCCAAAUUCCAUCAGGUUUCCCUGAAACCUAAACGGAUACCACCAUGUUCUGUGCAUUUAUUUGGAGAACUAAAUGCCUAUCAUGCUAAUUGUUGAUUUAAAUAGUCGAGUCCUGUGGGGUAACCAACAUCCACCCAAGGUUGCUAAGCUGGUGGGAGGACCUUCAUGCUAAUGAUCGGACUUUUGUCAGCAAAUACUUAGAAAAUUUACCUUCACUUCUCAAAAUCCAGCCCGACAACAAAAAUAAUUGAGGUUGUAACUUUGUUAAGGGAUAGUGAUCCGUGAAUGUUUCUCUUUGGGGACCUUGAAAUGACCUCUUUACAUGAAGAAAUUGAGGUCUAGCUAGUAUUCCUUGGGAGACUCCGGGUCUACUUAUGCCGGAAAAUCAAAAAAGGUAGGGGCUUCCAAAUGAUGGGACUAAAAAAAACCUGAACUUGACUUACUUGAAAGAUUCCUAAAUCCCAUUCGACUACUUGUACGAGAGGUAUAGCCAUAGCAAGUCAUAGUAGGGGUCUAAUAUUUUGUUUUGCAGAAAAUGAGGCAUGAAGUCCC
rnacentral:lncRNA from 1 species